GUGAGUAUGCUUUUGAUGAUUUUGAAUCUCAAGUUGUAGCUCAGUGUCACAAAUGGAAGAAAAACCUUAAAAAAUGCGCGGCAAUCAAAGCUUUUCAUUGCUUUUGUGGAGGUUGUGAAGGGGUGAAUUUUCUGAGAUCCUUGUGCUGUCAGUUCUGCUAACGCCAAUCACUUCUGUUAAGGUUUGGAUAAACCUUGAAUCACUAGUGCAUUGCAGUCUGGAUAGGCAUCAUAAUCCUCCAGGAAAUUCUGCAUGGCCUUGAGGCAGACUCUAAAAUUGAGCUAGGCACGUUGGUUCACACCUGUAAUCCCAGCACUCUGGGAGGCCAAGGCAGGCAGACUGCUUGAGUUGGCAAGAUCAAGAUCAGCCUGGGCAACACAGGGACCCUACUCAGCCAAACUCUGAUCCAAAGAAAGUCACUGCAGUCAUAUCCACAUCCAGCCACACUCCUGGUCUCUAUGAAUGUUGGCUUUUGAGACCUAUUUUGAGGGGAAAGGAUAUGGGUAUUGAUUCCUUCUGGAUCUACUAAAACCUCAGUAAAGCACUUGGAGGUGCCUUGUGCUGCUUUUACUGCUGAAAUAAUUAGGCUUUGUCUUAAGCCUGCUACCCAUUCAGUCCAGAACUUAGCUGUGUUAAUAUGCCACAGGGAAGUCAAAGUGAAUGCAUCUUGGAACUGACUGAAAGUACAUGACCACUGUGUAGCCCCUGUAUUAAUGCAUAAGGCCCUCUAGACUAAAAUAUAGCAUGUAAAAAGUGGCAUACAGAAAGACAUCUUGAAUAUUUCCUGUGAGUAGUCAAGACCCUAUCAAGAGGUGAUCACUAUUAUCUACACCCUAAUUGAAUCUUGUAUUCAUACCCUAACUGAAACCUGCAUCCUUUUGACCAAUGUUUCUCCUCUCUCUCUCUAGUUGGAACAUAUCCCUUAAUACAGAGAUUUAGGGUUUAUCUUCAACAGUGUAAUUAGCUGAUUGUCUAAUGGAAUCAACCUCUUUAUCUUUAUAUAAAAUUAUUUAUUUAUUUGGAUUUCCUCAUUAUCAGAAACAUACUGAUCCAUGAAAUUAUUUAAAGACUUGAUUUUGUCUAAAAUUAGGCUACUCACACUGAUGAUAAAAUAGGAUAAUGAAAUGUAUAUUCAUAUUUAAUAAUCAAAUAGAGAACCCAAAGCCUAUUUGUAUCUAUAAUUUAAACACAGUAAGUUUAGUUUCCAAAUGAGGCUCUAACAAAUUUCUAAAAACUUAAUGGCUUAAAACAACACAAAUUUAUUAUGUUAUAAAUUAAAUUCUAAAAGUCAGGAAUUUAAAAUGAGUUUUCAAGGCUGCGUAAUUUCUGGAGGCUCUAAGGAAUAACCUGUGUUCCUGCCUUUUCCAGCGUUUAGAGGCUACUCACAUUACUUAGCUCAUGGCUCUUUCCUCAUACUACUCAGAUCUCUGCUUCCAUCAUCACCUCUCUUUCUCAAACUGACCCUCCUUCCUCUAUCUUACAAGAAUCCUUGUGAUUAUGUUGGACUUACCUAAACUACACAGGAUAAUCUCCACAUUUCAAAAUAUUUAACAUUAUCACACCUAAAAAGUCCCUUCUACUGAGGUUAUAUAUUAACAGAUUUCUGGGACUGGGAUGUGAAUGCCUUCAGAGCUACAUUCUGCCUACUACAAUAACCAAUACCCAAGAUAGUUUUUUUUUUUUUAAUUCUGUGCCCAAGGAACUGUAUUAUCACAUCUCAUUUCAUCUAUACUUGGUCAUUCUACAUCUUUAUCAUCCAAGGUGCAGAUGAAAUAAGAGUGUUUUACUCUGUGUAAUAACAGGAAGUACUUUGGCUUUAGAGUCAUAAAGUCCUAUUUUUAUACUAUGGAUUUUCCAUUCAUCUAACUGUAUGGCUGUGGACAAGCCAUUUAACUUCUCUGAUCCCUCUUUGAAUGUAGCAUGGUCCUCAAUAAAUGUCAGUUGCUUUAAUAAAAU